AGGAAAAGAAACUAACCAGGAUUCCCCUAGUAACUGCGAGUGAAGCGGGAAGAGCUCAAAUUUAAAAUCUGGCAGUUCUGACUGUCCGAGUUGUAAUCUAGAGAAGUGUUAUCCGUGCUGGACCGUGUACAAGUCUCCUGGAAUGGAGCGUCAUAGAGGGUGAGAAUCCCGUCUCUGACACGGACUCCCAGUGCAUUGUGAUGCGCUCUCAAAGAGUCGAGUUGUUUGGGAAUGCAGCUCUAAAUGGGUGGUAAAUUCCAUCUAAAGCUAAAUAUUGGCGAGAGACCGAUAGCGAACAAGUACCGUGAGGGAAAGAUGAAAAGAACUUUGGAAAGAGAGUUAAACAGUACGUGAAAUUGUUGAAAGGGAAACGCUUGAAGUCAGUCGCGUUGACUGAGAAUCAACCUUGCUUUUGCUUGGUGUACUUCUCACCGAUGGGCCAGCAUCAAUUUUGAUCAGUGGAUAAAGGUCGAGGGAAUGUGGCAUCUCCGGAUGUGUUAUAGCCCUUGAUUGUAUACAUUGGUUGGGAUUGAGGAACUCAGCACGCCGCAAGGCCGGGUUUUUAACCACGUUCGUGCUUAGGAUGCUGGCAUAAUGGCUUUAAUCGACCCGUCUUGAAACACGGACCAAGGAGUCUAACAUGCCUGCGAGUAUUUGGGUGGAAAACCCAUGUGCGCAAUGAAAGUGAAGAUCAGGAUCCCUGUCGUGGGGAGCACUGAUGCCCGGACCAGAGCUUUUGUGACGGAUCUGCGGUAGAGCAUGCAUGUUGGGACCCGAAAGAUGGUGAACUAUGCCUGAAUAGGGUGAAGCCAGAGGAAACUCUGGUGGAGGCUCGUAGCGAUUCUGACGUGCAAAUCGAUCGUCAAAUUUGGGUAUAGGGGCG
rnacentral:rRNA from 1 species